rnacentral:rRNA from 1 species
UUUCGAAUCAUUCACAAUGGGCGCAAGCCUGAUGGUGCAAUGCCGCGUGGGGGAUGACGGUCCUCGGAUUGUAAACCCCUGUCAUCAAGGACUAAACCUGCAUGAAGAAUGCAGCUGAAUUAACUUGAAGAGGAAGAGGUGGCUAACUCCGUGCCAGCAGCCGCGGUAAUACGGAGACCUCGAGCGUUACUCGGAUUCACUGGGCGUAAAGGGAGCGCAGGCGGCUAAAUGUGUCAGGUGUGAAAGCCCGGGGCUCAACUCCGGAACUGCGCCUGAAACUAUUUAGCUUGAGACUCGGAGAGGUAUGCGGAAUUCCAGGUGUAGCGGUGAAAUGCGUAGAUAUCUGGAGGAACACCCAUGGCGAAGGCAGCAUACUGGACGAGUUCUGACGCUCAGGCUCGAAAGCGUGGGUAGCGAAAGGGAUUAGAUACCCCCGUAGUCC